rnacentral:rRNA from 1 species
GACAGAGGGGGCAAGCGUUGCUCGGAAUUACUGGGCGUAAAGGGCGCGUAGGCGGCCUGCUAAGUCGAACGUGAAAUCCCUGGGCUCAACCCAGGAACUGCGUCCGAUACUGGUUGGCUUGAAUCCGGGAGAGGGAUGUGGAAUUCCAGGUGUAGCGGUGAAAUGCGUAGAUAUCUGGAGGAACACCGGUGGCGAAGGCGGCAUCCUGGACCGGUAUUGACGCUGAGGAGCGAAAGCCAGGGGAGCAAACGGG